GUGGUCUAUGGUGAUAGGUGGGAUGGACUGAGAGGUUGAGGGGUGGGAUUAAAGAGCUGAGGUCUAUGGUGAUAGGUGGGAUGGGCUGAGAGUGGCUGAGGGGGUGGGAUUAAAGAGCUGAGGUCUAUGGUGAUAGGUGGGAUGGGCUGAGAGUGGCUGAGGGGUGGUCUAUGGUGAUAGGUGGGAUGGGCUGAGAGGUUGAGGGGUGGGAUUAAAGAGCUGAGGUCUAUGGUGAUAGGUGGGAUGGGCUGAGAGUGGCUGAGGGAAGGGUUUAAAGUGCAGAG
ensembl:lncRNA